AUCUGACUGCAGGCAACCAGACACCUGAGGGAUUGCAGUGGCUCUGAGUUUGUUCCCAGUGGAAGUUACAGGAGCAGAAGCAGAAAAUGAAUGAUGUUUCUGUAUUCCCCUGAGUUUGCCAGUGCAACUUCUCCAGGAUGGCCAUUUCCACAGCUUCCCUUCACCCUGCCAAGCCUUGCUCUACCCUUUGCCCUUAAAGCUGUCGUUCCGAUUGUUCCUAAUUUAAAUGCAAUGUCUACUA